GCCUAACACAUGCAAGUCGAGCGGAGAAGGCAAAGAAGUUUACUUUGAUGUCUUCUCAGACGGCGGACGGGUGAGUAACACGUGGGCAACCGUGCCUCAGAGAGGGGAAUAGCCUUCCGAAAGGAAGAUUAAUACCGCAUAAGAUCACAGCAUCGCAUGGUGCAGUGAUAAAAGGAGCAAUCCGCUUUGAGAUGGGCCCGCGGCGCAUUAGCUAGUUGGUGAGGUAACGGCUCACCAAGGCCACGAUGCGUAGCCGACCUGAGAGGGUGAUCGGCCACAUUGGAACUGAGACACGGUCCAGACUCCUACGGGAGGCAGCAGUGGGGAAUAUUGCACAAUGGGCGCAAGCCUGAUGCAGCAACGCCGCGUGAGUGAUGAAGGCUUUCGAGUCGUAAAGCUCUUUGAUCAGGGACGAUAAUGACGGUACCUGAAAAACAAGCCACGGCUAACUACGUGCCAGCAGCCGCGGUAAUACGUAGGUGGCGAGCGUUGUCCGGAAUUACUGGGCGUAAAGGAUGCGUAGGUGGAUAUUUAAGUGGGAUGUGAAAUCCCUGGGGCUCAACCCAGGAAUGGCAUUCCAAACUGGAUAUCUGGAGUGCAGGAGAGGAAAGCGGAAUUCCUAGUGUAGCGGUGAAAUGCGUAGAUAUUAGGAGGAACACCAGUGGCGAAGGCGGCUUUCUGGACUGUAACUGACACUGAGGCAUGAAAGCGUGGGUAGCAAACAGGAUUAAAUACCUGGGUAGUCACGCCGUAAC
rnacentral:rRNA from 1 species